rnacentral:rRNA from 1 species
CUUAUGCGAUUGCUGUGUGAAUUGCAGAAUCCCGUGAACCAUCGAGUCUUUGAACGCAAGUUGCGCCCGAAGCCAUUAGGCCGAGGGCACGUCUGCCUGGGCGUCA